rfam:Albugo candida, Ac Nc2, WGS project CAIX01000000 data, contig: AcNc2_CONTIG_793_length_7624
CUAGCGAACCCACAGCCAAGGGAACGGGCUUGGAAUAAUCAGCGGGGAAAGAAGACCCUGUUGAGCUUGACUCUAGUCUGACGUUGUGAGAUGACUUAGGAGGUGUAGUAUAAGUGGGAGGCUUUGCCGACAGUGAAAUACCACUACUUUUAAUGUCGUCUUACUUAUACCAUGAAAUAGUUUCUAGCCAUCUUCACGGGUGCCUAGUUCUAGAUAUAAGCCUGUGCUUUUGUACGGGUGAACUACGUGGAAGACAUCGUCAGGUGGGGAGUUUGACUGAGAACUUACGUUUCAUUAUACUUACGAUGGUUUUCCUGUGGUAUGCUAGUUAGUGCGAAAAAUGAUAAAAUAUGGAAAGAGAAGGAAAAAGGUUGCAAGUCUAACAAGUGUCCGUUGCGGAAAGAUGGAAGACGUGUAAUCCGUAAUGUCGGUAGAAAAAAUUAAAAAAGGCGAGAGAGACGAUGAGAACGCGUACGUAAAGCUUUGCAUAGGAGGGAUAAAUGUUGGAUGUUCUUUUAUUGCUUGUGCAGAAGAGU